rnacentral:rRNA from 1 species
UACGUAGGGGGCAAGCGUUGUCCGGAUUUAUUGGGCGUAAAGAGCGUGUAGGCGGCCAGGUAGGUCUGCUGUGAAAACUCGAGGCUUAACCUCGAGCUGUCGGCGGAAACCAUCUGGCUAGAGUCCGGGAGAGGAGAGUGGAAUUCCUGGUGUAGCGGUGAAAUGCGCAGAUAUCAGGAAGAACACCCGUGGCGAAAGCGGCUCUCUGGAACGGUACUGACGCUGAGACGCGAAAGCGUGGGGAGCGAACAGG